rnacentral:rRNA from 1 species
UACGUAGGGUGCAAGCGUUAAUCGGAAUUACUGGGCGUAAAGCGUGCGCAGGCGGCUUUGCAAGACAGAUGCGAAAUCCCCGGGCUCAACCUGGGAACUGCAUUUGUGACUGCAAGGCUAGAGUACGGCAGAGGGGGAUGGAAUUCCGCGUGUAGCAGUGAAAUGCGUAGAUAUGCGGAGGAACACCAAUGGCGAAGGCAAUCCCCUGGGCCUGUACUGACGCUCAUGCACGAAAGCGUGGGGAGCAAACAGG